rnacentral:snRNA from 1 species
UUACUUUUUUAUUAAUGUUGAU